CACGUAGGGGGCGAGCGUUGUCCGGAAUUAUUGGGCGUAAAGGGUGCGUAGGCGGUUUGGUAAGUCUGAUGUGAAAUCUCCCGGCUCAACUGGGAGGGUGCGCCGGAUACUGAGGGGCUAGAGUGUGGGAGAGGAAAGUGGAAUUCCUGGUGUAGCGGUGAAAUGCGUAGAUAUCAGGAAGAACACCCGUGGCUAAGGCGGCUCUCUAGUACGGUACUGACGCUGAGGUGCGAAAGCGUGGGGAGCAAACAGG
rnacentral:rRNA from 1 species